rnacentral:rRNA from 1 species
GAUUUCUGGUUUGACGCGCCUGGCCCGGUGGGGUUACCUGCUGAGUGCCGGUGCGCGUCUACCAUCCUUCUAGAAAACAGCCUUGCCCUUCACUGGGUUGAGGUUGCGAUCUAGAUCUUUUACUUUGAAAAAAUUAGAGUGUUUAAAGCAGGCUUUUUGCUAUGAAUACAUUAGCAUGGAAUAAUAAUUUAGGACUUUGGCCCUAUUUUGUUGGUUUCUAGGACUGAAGUAAUGAUUGAUAGGGAUAGUUGGGGGUGCUCGAAUUCAGCGGCCAGAGGUGAAAUUCUUGGAUUCGCUGAAGACGAACUCAUGCGAAAGCAUU